rnacentral:rRNA from 1 species
AUACGUAGGGGGCGAGCGUUGUCCGGAAUGAUUGGGCGUAAAGGGCGCGUAGGCGGCGCGGUAAGUCUGGAGUGAAAGUCCUGCUUUCAAGGUGGGAAUUGCUUUGGAUACUGCCGCGCUUGAGUGCAGGAGAGGUAAGUGGAAUUCCCAGUGUAGCGGUGAAAUGCGUAGAGAUUGGGAGGAACACCAGUGGCGAAGGCGGCUUUCUGGAAUGUAACUGACGCGGAGGCGCGAAAGUGUGGGGGGCAAACAGGAUUAGAUACCCUGGUGGUCCGCACUGUAAACGAUGAAUGCUAGGUGUAGGGGGUAUCGACCCCUUCUGUGCCGCAGUCAACACAAUAAGCAUUCCGCCUGGGGAGUACGGCCGCAAGGUUGAAACUCAAAUGAAUUGACGGGG